ensembl:snRNA U6 U6 spliceosomal RNA
UUGCUUACUUCAGCACAUACACUAAGAACUAGAAUCGUACAGAGAUUAGCAUGACCCCUGCACAAGGGUGACACAGAAAUUUGUGAGCAUUCCGUAUUAAAA